AAUUUUGCAGUUUUUAUACGACCGCAAAAUUUGAAAAAAUUUUCGUCGUAUAUUGCUAUCACGUUGGCGUCGUCGUCGUCGUCGUCGUCGUCCGAAUACUUUUAGUUUUCGCACUCUAACUUUAGUAAAAGUGAAUGGAAAUCUAUGAAAUUUUAACACAAGGUUUAUGACCACAAAAGGAAGGUUGGUAUUGAUUUUGGGAGUUUUGGUCCCAACAUUUUAGGAAUUAGGGGCCAAAAAGGGCCCAAAUAAGCAUUUUUUUGGUUUUCGCACUAUAACUUUAGUUUAAGUUAAUAGAAAUCUAUGAAAUUUUGACACAAGGUUUAUGACCACAAAAGAACGGUUGGGAUUGAUUUUGGGAGUUUUGGUUUCAACAGUUUAGGAAUUAGGGGCCAAAAAAGGGCCCAAAUAAGCAUUAUUCUUGGUAUUCGCACAAUAACUUUAGUUUAAGUAAAUAGAAAUCAAUGAAAUUUAAACACAAUGUUAAUGACUACAAAAGGAAGGUUGGUAUUGAUUUUGGGAGUUAAGGUCCCAACAGUUUAGGAAUUAGGGGCCAAAAAGGGACCCAAAUAAGCAUUUUUCUUGGUUUUCGCACCAUAACGUUAGUAUAAGUAAAUAGAAAUCUAUGAAAUUUAAACACAAGGUUUAUGACCAUAAAAGGAAGGUUGGUAUUGAUUUUGGGAGUUUUGGUCCCAACAGAAUAAGGGGCCCAAAGGGUCCAAAAUUAAACUUUGUUUGAUUUCAUCAAAAUUGAAUAAUUGGGGUUCUUUGAUAUGCCGAAUCUAACUGUCAUGACUGUGUAUGUAGAUUCUUAACUUUUGGUCCCGUUUUCAAAUUGGUCUACAUUAAGGUCCAAAGGGUCCAAAAUUAAACUUAGUUUGAUUUUGACAAAAAAAUGAAUCAGUUAGGUUCUUUGAUAUGCUGAAUCUAAAAAUGUACUUAGAUUCUUGAUUAUUGGCCCAG
rnacentral:lncRNA from 1 species